CGGUUGAUCCUGCCAGAGGUUACUGCUAUCAGAGUUCGAUUAAGCCAUGCGAGUCGAGAGGGUUCGGCCCUCGGCAGACUGCUCAGUAACACGUGGAUAACCUAACCUCGGGUCGGGGAUAAUCCCGGGAAACUGGGGAUAAUACCCGAUUCGUUACCUAUGCUGGAAUGCUUGGUAGCAAAAAGCUCCGGCGCCCGAGGAUGGGUCUGCGGCGGAUUAGGUUGUCGCCGGUGUAACGUACCGACGAGCCGAUAAUCCGUACGGGUUGUGAGAGCAAGAGCCCGGAGAUGGAUUCUGAGACACGAAUCCAGGCCCUACGGGGCGCAGCAGGCGCGGAAACUUUACAAUGCAGGAAACUGCGAUAAGGGAACUCUGAGUGUUUGGGACAUUCUCAAACUGUUCUAAUACCUAAAUAGUAUCAGAUAGUAAGGGCCGGGCAAGACCGGUGCCAGCCGCCGCGGUAACACCGGCGGCCCGAGUGGUAACCGAUAUUAUUGAGCUUAAAGGGCCCGUAGCCGGCCUGGCAAGUCCCUUGGGAAAUCUAACGGCUUAACCGUUAGGCGUCCAGAGGAUACUACCAGGCUUGGGACCGGGAGAGGUAGGAGGUACUCCAGGGGUAGGGGUGAAAUCCUGUAAUCCUUGGGAGACCACCGGUGGCGAAGGCGUCCUACCAGAACGGCUCCGACGGUGAGGGACGAAAGCUAGGGGCACGAACCGGAUUAGAUACCCGGGUAGUCCUAGCCGUAAACGAUGCAGGCUAGGUGUCACUGUAGCCAUGAGCUAUUGUGGUGCCGCAGGGAAACCGUGAAGCUUGCCGCUUGGGAAGUACGUCCGCAAGGAUGAAACUUAAAGGAAUUGGCGGGGGAGCACUACAACGGGUGGAGCCUGCGGUUUAAUUGGACUCAACGCCGGAAAGCUUACCGGUUUCGACAGCUGUAUGAAAGUCAGGCUGAAGACCUUACUGGACUAGCUGAGAGGAGGUGCAUGGCCGUCGUCAGUUCGUACCGUGAGGCGUCCUGUUAAGUCAGGCAACGAGCGAGACCCAUGCCCAUUGUUGCUAACGCACCCUCCGGGGUGUCGAGUACACUGUGGGGACCGUCUAGAGCUAAUCUAGAGGAAGGAAUGGGCGACGGUAGGUCAGUAUGCCCCGAAUACACCGGGCUACACGCGGGCUACAAUGGUUGGGACAAUGGGUAUCGACACCGAAAGGUGAAGGCAAUCCCCUAAACCCAAUCUAAGUUCGGAUCGAGGGCUGCAACUCGCCCCCGUGAAGCUGGAAUCCGUAGUAAUCGCGCCUCAACAUGUCGCGGUGAAUACGUCCCUGCUCCUUGCACACACCGCCCGUCAAACCACCCGAGUGAAGUUUAGAUGAGGGCCUGGUUAAUUGCCGUGCUCGAAUUUAAGCUCUACAAGGGGGGUUAAGUCGUAACAAGGUAGCC
rnacentral:rRNA from 1 species